CCCCCGGGGCGCCCGGGAGAGGCCGAGGCCCUAGACGGGGUCACCCUGGGGCGCCCAGGAGAGGCCGCACAGUGUGGGAUGCGCUGAGGGUUCAAGGGCGCCUUCCAAAGGUCAAAGGCUUGGAAGCCUCCUGAGGCUGCAGACCUUGCAGGAGUCUCCGGAGUAUUCAUUUUUUUUUUUUUUCUCCGGAGUAUUCAGAUGGGAACCUUUGCCCCUCUCGUGGAAAUUAAUUACAUGGACAGAAGAGGAAAAGUCAGCAGUGAGAAGGACUGGUGACAUAAUGAUACCAGAAACUGGCUUGUUCUGUGCCCUCACAGAGUUUUGUACCGUCUGGUGGAAGAAGAUGAUGUUAAUCAGGUAAUGAAAGAAAUAUAGUCAGUGGUGUUAAGUGCUAAGCCAGUGCCUAGGGGUUUUGACCUAAUCUGGAAAAGCUUUUCAGAGAGAGUACUUCUUGAGCUACAGUCCAAAGGAUGAAUAGAACUUAAUCAAGAGGAGAGGGGAAGGGACAGGCAUUCUAAGCAGAGGGAACAGCAUGUGCAAAGUUCCACUGGUAGGAGGAAAUCUGACCUAGGAAAGACAGAGUGACUGGGGCAGAGCUAGAGGGAGAGUGUUAUUUGAGAUGAUUUUAGGAGGUAAGUUGGUCUUGUUGGCCAGUCUACGCUGAUCAAUAAAAGCUCUGGAAGCUUCCAGACUAUUGUGUUAAAUAAGCUUUAUGCCAGUCACAUGAUUUAAAUCAAUUCUGACAGUUAUGUUUUAUUACAGAUGGGCGUUCUAUGUAAAAGAACUUUUUUUCAAACUUUGGAUGUUUCUGCCUAUGCCUACGUAGGCAAAAUCUUGGAUACGUUUUUGGGCACUACAGUUGUUUUUUUGUUGUUGUUGUUUUUGUCUUUUUGUUUUUAACAUGCUGAUUCUGUGGGGAUCUAACCAGCACAAAGAUGAAAGACUGGCAUAAAAGUAAAUAAAUAUGUAUACUACAGUAAACAA